CUUGGUCAUUUAGAGGAAGUAAAGGUCGUAACAAGGUCUCCGUAGGUGAACCUGCGGAGGGAUCAUUACAAGAACGCCCGGGCUUCGGCCUGGUUAUUCAUAACCCUUUGUUGUCCGACUCUGUUGCCUCCGGGGCGACCCUGCCUUCGGGCGGGGGCUCCGGGUGGACACUUCAAACUCUUGCGUAACUUUGCAGUCUGAGUAAACUUAAUUAAUAAAUUAAAACUUUUAACAACGGAUCUCUUGGUUCUGGCAUCGAUGAAGAACGCAGCGAAAUGCGAUAAGUAAUGUGAAUUGCAGAAUUCAGUGGAUCAUCGAAUCUUUGAACGCACAUUGCGCCCCCUGGUAUUCCGGGGGGCAUGCCUGUUCGAGCGUCAUUACAACCCUCAAGCUCUGCUUGGUAUUGGGCUCUGCCGGUCCCGGCAGGCCUUAAAAUCAGUGGCGGUGCCAUUCAGCUUCAAGCGUAGUAAUUCUUCUCGCUUUGGAGACCCGGGUGCGUGCUUGCCAGCAACCCCCAAUUUUUUCAGGUUGACCUCGGAUCAGGUAGGGAUACCCGCUGAACUUAAGCAUAUCAAUAAGCGGAGGAAAAGAAACCAACAGGGAUUGCCUCAGUAACGGCGAGUGAAGCGGCAACAGCUCAAAUUUGAAAUCUGGCCUCACGGUCCGAGUUGUAAUUUGUAGAGGAUGCUUCGAGCAUGGUCUGGCCUAAGUUCCUUGGAACAGGACGUCAUAGAGGGUGAGAAUCCCGUAUGCGGCCAGGUGCCUACGCUCAUGUGAAGCUCCUUCGACGAGUCGAGUUGUUUGGGAAU
rnacentral:sRNA from 1 species